rnacentral:sRNA from 1 species
UCGUAGGCGCCGUGGGCGGAUCCACA